UUGAAGGGGGGCUGCCGGCCUCCAAGCUUGUUGGUGAGAUAAUGGUUCCCAAAGGCGUGCACGGGUAGCCGCCCUGAGAAGGUGACCGGCCACUCUGGGACUGAUGAAACGGCCCAAACUCUUACGGGAGGCGAGCAGUGGGGGAUAUUGCCCAAUGGGCCCAAGCCUGAUGCAGCAACGCGGCGUGGAGGACGACGGCUUUCGGGUUUGUAAACUCUUUUUAGCAGGAAGAAAGCGAAAAGGACGGUACCUGCAGAAAAGGCGCCGGCUAACUACGUGCCAGCAGCCGCGGUAAUACGUAGGGCCCAAGCGUUUUCCGGAAUUUUUGGGCGUAAAGAGCUUGUAGGCGGUUUGUCGCGUCUGCUGUGAAAUCCGGAGGCUCAACCUCCGGCCUGCAGUGGGUACGGGCAGACUAGAGUGCGGUAGGGGAGAUUGGAAUUCCUGGUGUAGCGGUGGAAUGCGCAGAUAUCAGGAGGAACACCGAUGGCGAAGGCAGAUCUCUGGGCCGUAACUGACGCUGAGGAGCGAAAGGGUGGGGAGCAAACAGGCUUAGAUACCCUGGUAGUCCACCCCGUAAACGUUGGGAACUAGUUGUGGGGUCCAUUCCACGGAUUCCGUGACGCAGCUAACGCAUUAAGUUCCCCGCCUGGGGAGUACGGCCGCAAGGCUAAAACUCAAAGGAAUUGACGGGGACCCGCACAAGCGGCGGAGCAUGCGGAUUAAUUCGAUGCAACGCGAAGAACCUUACCAAGGCUUGACAUAUACGAGAACGGGCCAGAAAUGGUCAACUCUUUGGACACUCGUAAACAGGUGGUGCAUGGUUGUCGUCAGCUCGUGUCGUGAGAUGUUGGGUUAAGUCCCGCAACGAGCGCAACCCUCGUUCUAUGUUGCCAGCACGUAAUGGUGGGAACUCAUGGGAUACUGCCGGGGUCAACUCGGAGGAAGGUGGGGAUGACGUCAAAUCAUCAUGCCCCUUAUGUCUUGGGCUUCACGCAUGCUACAAUGGCCGGUACAAAGGGCUGCAAUACCGCGAGGUGGAGCGAAUCCCAAAAAGCCGGUCCCAGUUCGGAUUGAGGUCUGCAACUCGACCUCAUGAAGUCGGAGUCGCUAGUAAUCGCAGAUCAGCAACGCUGCGGUGAAUACGUUCCCGGGUCUUGUACACACCGCCCGUCAAGUCAUGAAAGUCGGUAACACCUGAAGCCGGUGGCCUAACCCUUGUGGAGGGAGCCGUUGAAAG
rnacentral:rRNA from 1 species